CUGCGGCGUAUCAGUCAACAACCCUUUUUGAAGAUAUAUUAUUAGAAUUCAAUAAUAAUAAACGUGUAUAAAUAACUCAUUUCUAAGUAGUUUCUUUUACUAAGAAAUUAUUUCUUACAAAAUGAAGAGGUUCUGUGAUUUAAUAUUUAUAAGAGUGAAAAUAUCAUGAUGAAUUAAAAUUUGAUAGUUACCACACUUCGUUACUUAUAUUGUAAUACUCAACCUUUAAUACGAAAAUAAAUAAAAUAAGCCCAAAAAUCAGUUGGUAGUUGGCGGAUUCUUCCAAACAAUUGAAUUAAAAUUCGAUAGUUCUUUGGAAUUAUUCACAGCUUUAAAAAAGCUAGUUCUAAUUUAGAAUCACCAAUUGUAACGAAAGAAGCAGUAAAAUCGACAGCUGAUAACUAACGCAGUGUAUAUCUUUGUGUUAGUGAGGUGACAUAUAAAUCUUCGAUCGAGGUAUUUUCUCUCUUCGAAACAAGAAAUAUUUAAAUCACUGAACCUCUUCCUUUUUUUCAAGGAAAAUUGUUGAGGUUACAAGAUAACUACAUAAAAAGUCCUUAUAAAUAUGGUGCUCAUUUCCAAAUAUACACGUACGGUAUAUACAUAUGAAAGUUCAUGUUAUGAGUCUUCCUCAAAAAAUUAGAAUAUCUUCUAACCUCUGAUUAUUAGACACUCGUCGAUCAAUGGAAAAGAAACACUUUCAUAUAUUAGAAAAAACCAAACUGGAGCACGUAAAAGUCAAAUUGUACAAAUAUUAAAGUGAAGUAACGCAAAACCAAAUUACAACUUCCGUGGAAUAACUUGAACUAAUGGUUCAUCUUUGCGACAUGCUUGUUUUUGCUGUAGAUACUACGUAGUAGUCGUUUGCGCGCAUGUACUCCCCGCAUUCAAAAUGUUUCAAGGAAUCACUUGCUCAAACGGCAAGGCUAAUGGACAAAUUAAGUAACUAAUAAUUAUUUGUAAUUUUUUGUUCGAUUAAAUAUGUUAGGUAUUACAUAAUUGACUAUAUAUAGCUAUGUAAACUACUCGGACUUAAAAAUAUCGCAAUAAAGGUCUUUAAUGAUA
rnacentral:lncRNA from 1 species